rnacentral:piRNA from 1 species
UUGUCAGUAAAUAAGGAGGCACGUUGUUU